rnacentral:ncRNA from 1 species
AUUAAAACGUUGACAAGAGCUAGUAGUAAAAGUUGGGCUUUUUAGAGAGCUGAUGGUUGGUGGGAAUCAGUAGGAACGCUUUUAUGAAUCCGUCUUGGAGUGAGCAGAGGAAAUGUGAGUAAUCUGCUUCGGUGGGAACCGUUAUAUCAAUUGAGCUGGAGUUUGAGAUGUUUCUCGGACUCAAUUAGGGUGGCAACGCGGUACUUCCGUCCCUUUC